rnacentral:lncRNA from 1 species
GCAUAGUGCUGCAUUUCUCGGUUUUAUUUCAAACAGUGCAUAUUUUUAAGCAUUUUAUGGAAGGAUUUUACACUUGUCAUUUACACAAAUUACAAGGUUCGGCUUAAAGUCUUUAAAAAAAUUCUAAAAAUCCAGCCCAUGUGCAGCACAAGAAUAUGCAAAACUACUUUACAUUAUACACACUUUUUAUCAAAGGAGAUACAAAAUUCUGGCUUGUAGUUUUAGACAAAUACAAGAAGCUUCAAACUAGACACAAAGGGUUAACAUUAAUUCUCAAAUAUAAGUCUGCACUUUUGUGUUGUAUUUCUCUGAGAUGUAAUACCAAAUUCCUAAGAGACUUUACAUUUUCUUUUUCAAAGAAAACUUGACACAUUUCCAGUAAACAAGUCCCUCUCUAUUUUGCUCAGUCCCCAACCAAUUCACUCUUAGUGCCAGAGACCAUGCCCAUGAGGAACAGACCCCGACAGUGACUGCUUCAAUGCAAAACUCCACAGAGUGGCGACAGAUGAGAAUGGUUCUGCUCUAUUUUGAGGAGUGCCCUUAACACUCAGGAACCUUCUUCCUUAUACUUUGUGACUAAGUGCUCAACACAGAGUUCACUGGAUUCCAGCAAUGAAGUUUUGGUGGUGACAAACUGGUGGCCCUAAGUCUUGUAAAUGGAAUAUAGCACACUGACUGAAUGAGGGACCUGACUGACGGUAUGCAUAGAUGCUGUCAGCAGACUGGAGGCAACAGGAAGAGCAGGGCUUUGUGCCCUUUCAAGAAAUAUUGUUUCUCUCAUUGGUAUUCACUGUUCUCUAGCCAUCUUCUGACACCUACACAUGCACAGUAUAGUACUUAAAAGAAGCCCACCUUUCACCCAGAGUCAAGUGACAGUCAACUCUCAAUUAUCUAUGAGAACCCAACUGACAUUGCUGUCAGUGAAUUUCAUUCCGGAGGAUUCUGAUUCUCAAAGACUUUGCAUACCCAUGAAGACUGACCGAGUCAGAAUACAAACAGAGCAGCAUAUCCUACUAGGACUGUAGGUACAAGCCAAGUGGAAACAGUGGAAACAGGCAAAAGGUCUGAGGAUUAGAGAAAAAUUCAUUUCAAACUUCUCCUCAUUCUGCACAUGCCUCGUUAAUCGUAUGUCUGUGGUCAAUACGAAUGGAGGUCCUGAGGCCCCACCCUACUUUGCAUAGGUAAGGGAGAGUCGGCUACAGUCGUGCACUCCUGGGACUUAGCCCUUUCAUAUAAACAUUCCUAAGAAAGUAAAGUGUGAUAAAAAGAUAAGACUUCCUUCC